UACGAGGGGGGCGAGCGUUGCUCGGAAUCACUGGGCGUAAAGCGCACGUAGGCGGCUUUUCAAGUCAGGGGUGAAAUCCUGGAGCUCAACUCCAGAACUGCCCUUGAUACUGAAGAGCUCGAGUCCGGGAGAGGUGAGUGGAACUGCGAGUGUAGAGGUGAAAUUCGUAGAUAUUCGCAAGAACACCAGUGGCGAAGGCGGCUCACUGGCCCGGUACUGACGCUGAGGUGCGAAAGCGUGGGGAGCAAACAGG
rnacentral:rRNA from 1 species